GGAAUUGGAUAGGCAAGUUCCCUUGAUGGAUGAAAUGGAUGACAAGGUGAGUUCUCUGGCCACCGUCAUUUUUGAUAUUUCUUCUGACAGGCGUCUCGGCAAUGCUUAAUGUCUGGUAAAACGAUAAAUGCAGGUGGAUAGAGCCAAUGCAGAUCUGAAGAAUACCAACGUGAGGCUAAAGCAGACCAUUCUUCAGGUAAAAGUUCACUCCUCUCCCUGUACUUUCCUUGACUGAUGCUUUGGGAGAUUGGUGAGCUCAUGCAUGCAUGUUUCUCCUCUUUGGAUUGUUGUCAGAUGAGAUCCAGUCGCAACUUCUGCGUCGACAUUAUCCUGCUCUGUAUCAUACUUGGUAUCGCUGCCUACCUUUACAAGUAAGUAUUUCCUUUGCCAAGCAACCACUCCAGUGGACAUUCUCCUUCACUUUUUAACUAGCCUGAAUUUGGACCAGCCGAUGAAUGAAAGAUAUAGUAUUACCUCAUAUUUCUUUACUCGCUUGCUUGAUGGUUACCACAUCCAUCUUGUUUAAAUCACACUGCCCUGUUUGACCUUUCUAAUGGUUUUGCUCCAUGCUGUUUUUAUUGUGUCGCAGUGUGCUUAAGAAGUGAGUGAGGUGCAACGGUGUGCUCAUGUCGCGGUCUGUAGUGGUCUUGCAUUGGAUUCUCUACUUGUCAUGUCCUGCUGUGAUGGGUUUCAAACGUGUGCCACGAGUAAUUCGUUUCGUCUCAUCUGUGUAACAUCAUGGUGUUACAUUAUUAUUAUGCUUGUUGAAGCAGUGAUGAUUAUAUGUGUGUUGACCUGAUGUCUGAUUGUAUGUAUAUUCGGGAGUAAACUGCUUAGUGA
rnacentral:lncRNA from 1 species